UGGCAAUGAUGACAAAAAGGCCGGACUUACGGCUGCUUCCAUAUGGUUGGUAGUAGAUUGAAGAAAGUUUCAGCAAGGUACUUUCUGAGCCAG